rnacentral:rRNA from 1 species
UCAGGAUGAACGCUAGCGACAGGCCUAACACAUGCAAGUCAGGGGCAGCACAAGGAGCAAUCUGAGGUGGCGACCGGCGCACGGGUGAGUAACACGUAUGCAACCUGCCUGUAAGCGGGGAAUAACCCGUUGAAAGACGGACUAAUACCGCAUAAUACUAAAUUACUGCAUGGUAAUUUAUUUAAACAUUUAUGGCUUACAGAUGGGCAUGCGCAUGAUUAGCUAGUUGGAGAGGUAACGGCUCCCCAAGGCAACGAUCAUUAGGGGUUCUGAGAGGAAGGUCCCCCACACUGGUACUGAGACACGGACCAGACUCCUACGGGAGGCAGCAGUGAGGAAUAUUGGUCAAUGGACGAGAGUCUGAACCAGCCAAGUCGCGUGCAGGAAGAAUGUCCUAUGGGUUGUAAACUGCUUUUGCAGGGGAAUAAAGUGCAUCACGUGUGAUGUUUUGUAUGUACUCUGCGAAUAAGGAUCGGCUAACUCCGUGCCAGCAGCCGC